UACUGAUAGAGUCUGAAUAUUUGUGCUCCCCUCAAUCAUUUGUUGAAACCUAAUAACCAAUGUGAUGAUAUUGAAAGGUUCCUAUCCAACCAUUACAAUUCAGUCUUGUUGGUUUAGUCUGGUGAGGAUGAAUGACAGCAGGAUAUGCAGGGAGAUGCUGUGUAGUGAACUGAAGGAGUUAUGUCCCAGAUAAGGUCAUUGGAGCACAGAGUUCAUGAGAAAGGAAACCAUCAUGCUCCGAAACAAC